GUCCGACUUGUGCAGCGAGCAGGCCACAUUGCUCUCAAAGCCCACGAUAAUUGGGCCGCGACCGCUGGCUCAGCCCCCACUGGCUCUCGCGACCGCCGCCGCUGUUCGCCGGAACCCAGCAUGACGCCUCGGGCGCUGCUCUCCCGCCUGCGUCUCGCCCCUCUCCUCCACGACGGCCACCACCUGCGACGCUUGCUCUCCGCAGCCGCCGCCCCACCACCACCACUAGAUGAGUCGCCUCCCGGUGCGCCGCCGCCGCCCUCCAACUCCAGACUCUUCGUCGCCGGUUUGUCGUGGUCCGUGGACGAGCGCUCCCUCACGGACGCCUUCUCCUCCUUCGGCACCGUCACCGAAGAUGGUGCGCGUGCUAGGUGUUCGAAGAGACGCCGUGGAGGCAGUGAGCCACCCCAUCGCGCCCAGCCCCGCGAACUGUUCGAUGAAAUGCUUGUAAGGGACGUGGUCGCCUGCUCGGCGGCGAUCUACCGGCAUGCAAGGAGUGGGUCAUUCCGCCAGUCAGUUGGGCUGUUUGUCAGCAUGAUGAGGGAGGGGGUGUGCCCAAACUCGUUCACCUUGGUCGGUCUGUUGCUUGCGGCAGCUCAGCUGGGUGACGCUGUGCUUGCCAAGUGCAUCCAUGGGUGGGCUGUGAAGAGUCGGCUGGAAUCCAAUCCUUUUGUUGCAACUGCACUGGUCGAUGCGUAUGCGAAAUGCGGGUGCCCCAUGAAUUCAUGGGCGUUUUUCAGUGAUUUGAGGGAUCCCAGUUUGGUUUCCUGGAAUGCUAUGAUCUCCGGGUUAAUGCACAAUGAUUUGUUUGAGGAAGCAUUGUUGGUGUUUAAAAGGAUGUGUGGUUGUUUUGGGAUACUUCCUAAUAAUGUUGUGACCAUGAUUAAUGUGGCUCAAGCUUAUGCUGGUUGUGGUGACCUUGGAAUGUGCAAGAGUGCACACGCUUAUGCAAUUAAGAUGGGCCUUGAUAUGGAUGUUUCGGUGACAAACUCAAUACUUGGCAUGUACUUGAAUUUUGGUGACAUUGAGAUCGGAAGAGAGAUUUUUAGGAAAAUCAUUGUUCAUGAUCUUGUUACUUGGACAAUGAUGAUGGGUUUCCUUCUUGAGCAGGCACAUGCUGGUGAAGCUAUAAGUCUCUUUGUACAGAUGAGGUCAAAUGGCAUAGUUCCUGAUAGGGUAGCAAUGGUCAGUUUGGUGCAAGCUUGUGCGCUUCUAGGUGAUGCAAGGAGAGGAAAAUUGGUUCAUAAUCAAAUGGUCAUCCGUGGUUUUAUUAGAGAGCUUCCUGCGGCUAAUUCUUUAAUCACAAUGUAUUCCAAAUGCAAGGAUUUAAGUUCCGCUAGAGUGUUGUUUGAUGGAACAAGGGAGAAAAGCUUAGUUUCAUGGACUGCAAUGGUUUCAGGGUAUAUUGGAAGUGGAAAAGCACUAGAGGGGAUACAUCUCUUUAGUAAGAUGAGGCGUGAAGAUAUUUUUGUGAUUGAUUCUGUGACGUUAGUCAGCUUAUUGAUUGGGUGCUAUGACAUUGCUAAGUUUGAGCUAUGUGUUCAACUUCAGGGGUAUAGCUACAAGACAGGUUUAUAUCUGCAUAGACCCGUACCUAAUACUCUCAUGGCAGUUUAUGGUAAGUGUGGAUAUGUCAGUUUAACCCGUAAAGUAUUUGAUGACAUGAUUUCUCGAGAUGUUGUCUCAUGGAAUACUAUGAUAUUAUCCUAUGGCAUAAAUGGCCAAGGAGAGCAAGCAAUGGCACUUUUUAACGACAUGGAGGAAUCUAGUGAAGAGCGAGACAGUGUAACAUACUUGAACACAUUGCUGGCAUGUAGCCAUUCUGGACUAAUUGAUGAUGGGUUGGUCACAUUCAGGAGAAUGAUUAAUGAGAAGCGCAUAAAUCCAUGCCAAGAGCACAUCGGAUGCCUAGUAGAUAUGUUGGCAAGAGCCGGUCGCUUGGAUGAAGCAGCAGAAGUGGCUAGCUUGACCAACAAAGAGGGAGCAAAUUCUUGGAAGGCUUUGAUGGGAGGAGGUCACCUUCACAGUGACACAGAGUUAACUGAAGUUGCUGCUAACAAGGUGCUGAACAUGGAGUCGUUUGAUUAUGGCCACGUGGUGUUACUGUCUAAUGCUUAUGCAUCAGCUGGGAAGUAUAUUGUUGCCGAAUCUAUCAGAUCAUGUUAUUCAAAUCAAACAAAAAGGAAGACUUUAGGGCUGAGUUCCAUUGAGGUCAUGCCAGUCAGCACUAGAUAGCACUACUAUACUAAUCUCGAUGGAAGGGAAAAGAUAUAUGAGACAAUUACCAUCCACUCUCUGUCUGUCUGAAGCUAGUGCCUAGUGGGGAUAUUUUUUAGCCUUUCAGGCAUGAGCAAUGGAGUUUCACUUUGCCGACAGCCAAGUCCCAUGUGAUUAAAAGAGACAUGUCAAGAAUGAAGCUAUAGCAUGAUUGAUGCAAUGGAGACUUGCAUUGUUCCUUGGAUUGCUACAGUUAGGAUAAUGUAUGACAAAAAUUCUGGAAGGUCAAGAGGCUUUGGAUUUGUUCACUUCUCAAAUGACCAUGAGGCUAAGGUUGCGAAGGAUGCUAUGGAUGGAAAGGUAAUGCUAGGGCGGCCAUUGCGAAUAAGUUUUGCUCUUGAAAAAGUCCGUGGCGCACCAGUGAUUGUUCCUCGACUUUCUACGUGAGGAAAUUUAAUAGCUUACAUGUUUACUCCCUGGAAACAGAAACGUGCUUGCUAACAACUUGGUCUAUAGAAACAUUGUUUUUUUUUUGAAGAAAUUUGCAGGAGCACUGCAUUGUCAUUUAAGAAGAGGGAAACAGAUAAUGUGUUCUAUAAGUUCGAUAUUACAUAAAAGAGAAAGUACUCAAACACAAUUGAAAAGCGUAACAUCAGAUAACUAAGAAAUCUCUGGCCCUCCGCAGGCCAUUUUCUUGUUUGGACUUCCAUUUUGAUCUCAUGCAAGACAUCCGUUGGUGAA